AGGGGGGACACAAUCCUAUUACUCGUCUCAUAUUGAUCAUAACCCUACUUUCCCAACAUCGUUAUGUUACUCUGAUUCUUACCAAACCCCCCUUUUACUUUUCAUAAUCUCUAAUUACAUAAGUAAGCUCUUGAUAGAUUUUUGACCUAUUUCUUGUGGGAUCUACCCCAACCUAAUUGGGCUUUAUAUUUGACUAUCGAGCAC
rnacentral:lncRNA from 1 species